rnacentral:rRNA from 1 species
AUAAGCACCGGCUAACUACGUGCCAGCAGCCGCGGUAAUACGUAGGGUGCAAGCGUUAUCCGGAAUUAUUGGGCGUAAAGGGCUCGUAGGCGGUUCGUCGCGUCCGGUGUGAAAGUCCAUCGCUUAACGGUGGAUCCGCGCCGGGUACGGGCGGGCUUGAGUGCGGUAGGGGAGACUGGAAUUCCCGGUGUAACGGUGGAAUGUGUAGAUAUCGGGAAGAACACCAAUGGCGAAGGCAGGUCUCUGGGCCGUUACUGACGCUGAGGAGCGAAAGCGUGGGGAGCGAACAGGAUUAGAUACCCUGGUAGUCCACGCCGUAAACGGUGGAUGCUGGAUGUGGGGCCCGUUCCACGGGUUCCGUGUCGGAGCUAACGCGUUAAGCAUCCCGCCUGGGGAGUACGGCCGCAAGGCUAAAACUCAAAGAAAUUGACGGGGGCCCGCACAAGCGGCGGAGCAUGCGGAUUAAUUCGAUGCAACGCGAAGAACCUUACCUGGGCUUGACAUGUUCCCGACAGCCGUAGAGAUAUGGCCUCCCUUCGGGGCGGGUUCACAGGUGGUGCAUGGUCGUCGUCAGCUCGUGUCGUGAGAUGUUGGGUUAAGUCCCGCAACGAGCGCAACCCUCGCCCUGUGUUGCCAGCACGUCAUGGUGGGAACUCACGGGGGACCGCCGGGGUCAACUCGGAGGAAGGUGGGGAUGACGUCAGAUCAUCAUGCCCCUUACGUCCAGGGCUUCACGCAUGCUACAAUGGCCGGUACAACGGGAUGCGACACGGCGACGUGGAGCGGAUCCCUGAAAACCGGUCUCAGUUCGGAUUGGAGUCUGCAACCCGACUCCAUGAAGGCGGAGUCGCUAGUAAUCGCGGAUCAGCAACGCCGCGGUGAAUGCGUUCCCGGGCCUUGUACACACCGCCCGUCAAGUCAUGAAAGUGGGUAGCACCCGAAGCCGGUGGCCUAACCCUUUGUGGAUGGAGCCGUCUAAGGUGAGACUCGUGAUUGGGACUAAGUCGUAACAAGGUAGCCGUACCGGAAGGUGCGGCUG